AACCUGCCCAAGAGAUCGGGAUAACACCUGGAAACAGAUGCUAAUACCGGAUAACAACAGAUGAUGCCUAUCAACUGUUUAAAAGAUGGUCCUGCUAUCGCUCUUGGAUGGACCUGCGGUGCAUUAGCUAGUUGGUAGGGUAACGGCCUACCAAGGCGAUGAUGCAUAGCCGAGUUGAGAGACUGAUCGGCCACAUUGGGACUGAGACACGGCCCAAACUCCUACGGGAGGCAGCAGAG
rnacentral:rRNA from 1 species